rnacentral:misc_RNA from 1 species
UCUUUACACACGCGUAAUAAAAAAUUGUAAAAUUAUGGAAAAUAUUGGAAAAACGAAGGGAUUUGACGCAAUCGCAGACAUCCUUGUGAUUUCUACUAUAACGGGUGGAAUUUUCUGGAUUAACUGGCCAGGGAUUGCUCGCUCCCUAGCGUAUCAUUGAACCUCAUUCAAAGUGCAAGAGGAGCAGAAGCGGAAUGAAAGCCGUGAACAUGUUUGCAGUCUGUUAAUUUGCAUAAGAAACGCCGACUUCUAUGCAAAAAUAUUUCGACUAACAAACUUUUUCGAAAAUAUUUAUUUUUUUGAACACAUCGACUUCAGAAUUCAGAGGUACUCACAUGCAAAGUGUACUUUACGAUGUGCUAUAAACGGAAUAUUGGAUACUACAUACCGCGUGAAAGGAGAAUCAAUGCUGAUUAAAAAAUUGCUUACCCAUGAAUAUAGAUUUAUGUGAUCGUACGUAAUAUAUGUUUUCAAAUUUUGUCUCUAACAUUGCAUAGAAUUUUAAACCAGGAGAAACAUUCAAACUGCACACAUAAGCAGGAGCCACGUGGUCCGUAAAUAUCUUUUUACAAUUCAUUUUGAAUCUGCUUAAUGGAGAAAAUGUAAUAAUUUUAUUAUUUAUAUAUUGGCAUGCUAGCCAUUUUCGAUUAGAAGAAGGUAGAACUGCUGGUAUGUUAUUUUACCCGGACGGAUAUCUUCCUGUAAAAGGUAUAAGUAUAUAAUUUAUUAUCUAUGAAAACUGACAUUUAUAAAAUUUUGCAAACAAUAAGGUAUGAUACUUAUUAUUUGAAUUUAUUAUAUAUUAAAAGAAUUUAAAUAUACAUACAUACCUUCACCAUUACAUUUUAUGCUACUAAAAAGCAAUAAAUGCAUGGUAUGUAGGAACCACCUAUUCUGUGAAAUACCCUCUAUAUGUUUCUCCCAAAUAUGAAUUUGUACUUGUAAUAUGAAGCACCUGUUGGAGUAAAUUUACCUCAACAUUCUCUGGUGCAUAGAAAAAUGAUAUGUCUAUCUUUAUCACUAUAUAAUCUCUACUUGUUAUUCAAAUGAUAUACAUAUUUAAAAGUUAUCAUAAGAUAAUAGUAUGUAAUGCAGUGUUCUCUUGAAUGGAUUUCUUUUUCUGCUUCUUUUACAUAAUAUUACUUCUAAUUCUGCAGUUUCCUCUUCAGUUGGUUUUUUAUUCACAUAUGUACCCAAUGAAUCCGAAAAUCCUUUAACGCAGUAUCACCAUUUCUGUGACAUUUCCUUUUGUCAGCCCUUAGUUUGUUACAUUCCCUGUAAAAUACAUUUAGGCAAGCCUAUAGUCGCAUCGCAGUGCAUGACUACUUUUAAGAGUUCCUAUAUGCUCUUAUUAUUAUAUUACAUAUCAUAACUGACAAACAUACUUCUUUAAUUUUUGCAUUGAAACUUGCUUAUAUGAGCUUUCUCAAUAUAUCUAGAAAGAUAUAUAUUUUUUUACAGCACCUUGUUGCCUUUUAAAUAGAUUUUCUGGACCAACGUCAAAUGCAAA